rnacentral:rRNA from 1 species
AUUGAACGCUGGCGGCAUGCCUUACACAUGCAAGUCGAACGGUAACGCGGGGCAACCUGGCGACGAGUGGCGAACGGGUGAGUAGUGCAUCGGAACGUGCCCAAUAGUGGGGGAUAGCCCGGCGAAAGCCGGAUUAAUACCGCAUACGACCUAUGGGUGAAAGCGGGGGAUCGCAAGACCUCGCGCUAUUGGAGCGGCCGAUGUCAGAUUAGGUAGUUGGCGGGGUAAAGGCCCACCAAGCCUGCGAUCUGUAGCUGGUCUGAGAGGACGACCAGCCACACUGGGACUGAGACAUGGCCCAGACUCCUACGGGAGGCAGCAGUGGGGAAUUUUGGACAAUGGGGGUAACCCUGAUCCAGCCAUGCCGCGUGCGGGAAGAAGGCC